GAUGAACGCUGGCGGCGUGCCUAACACAUGCAAGUCGAACGGCAGCACAGCAGUAGCAAUACUGUGGGUGGCGAGUGGCGGACGGGUGAGGAAUACGUCGGAAUCUGCCCAGUCGUGGGGGAUAACUAGCCGAAAGGUUAGCUAAUACCGCAUACGACCGAGAGGUGAAAGCGGGGACCGCAAGGCCUCGCGCGAUUGGAUGAGCCGACGUCGGAUUAGCUAGUUGGCGGGGUAAAGGCCCACCAAGGCGACGAUCCGUAGCUGGUUUGAGAGGAUGAUCAGCCACACUGGAACUGAGACACGGUCCAGACUCCUACGGGAGGCAGCAGUGGGGAAUAUUGGACAAUGGGCGCAAGCCUGAUCCAGCCACGCCGCGUGAGUGAUG
rnacentral:rRNA from 1 species